rnacentral:rRNA from 1 species
GACGAGGGGUCCAAGCGUUGUUCGGAAUUAUUGGGCGUAAAGAGCUCGUAGGCGGUUUGUCGCGUCUGCUGUGAAAUCCCGAGGCUCAACCUCGGGUCUGCAGUGGGUACGGGCAGACUGGAGUGCGGUAGGGGAGAAUGGAAUUCCUGGUGUAGCGGUGGAAUGCGCAGAUAUCAGGAGGAACACCGAUGGCGAAGGCAGUUCUCUGGGCCGUAACUGACGCUGAGGAGCGAAAGCGUGGGGAGCGAACAGG